CCAGACUGAGGGGGCGGUGCAGGCUUUCCCACAAGAAUGUAAUGUCAGGUGCCCAGUCCCACUGCACCAGACCCUGAGAAAACGGAGAAGCAAGACCUGUGCAAUUGGAGAUGGAGUUGGACGGGAAUGCAAUGGACUUCUCCAGAAAAGUGGCCUCUAGAGAAGAAUCCCGACUCCUCCAUUCAGCCUCCCACUCUUACAAAAUCAAGCCUCUCAGCAGUUAGUUUGAAAAUGUCUCUGCAUCUCAGUAUGACCAGGGAUGUUAUGGAAAAAUCAUUCAACAGGACUAAUUGAUCAGGACAGGCUUGGAACAGAAGCCAGCUGAGCAUGUGGUUAAAAGCACAGAUGUGGGAACCUGAAUGACUGGGUUCAAAUCUCAACCCCUGCUCUUAUUACCUGUCAAAAGAUUACUCUUUCCUCACCGGACUGUAUGCUGGUGGAGAGCUGUCCUACCUUCAUGGGAACUGAAAGCUGAAACACACCAGAGCUAAGAAAACCAAGACUCAGAAAGAUAAAGUAACCCAUCCCAGGACCCACACCAAUGAAGGAGUAGACACGAGACCUGAACCCAGGUCUAUGUGACCCUGAGCCAGUGCCCUCCACUGCAUCACGAAGCUGGGUCACUCAUGCUGCCAAUAUAGCAGGUGUCACAGGACAGCAGAGUUGGCGUCCAUGUCCUUGGCUAGACCAAGUGUCUCGGAGGACAGGAACUCAGUCUUCUUUACCCCCAUCAGAAGGCCUGGUACUACAUUAUCAUUAGGACAAGAAGCUGGACCUCUUGGGUCUCGUGACAUCCCCCCUGCAAGUCCUCUGAGCCUCCGUACGCCAGGCUCUCGAUCUCUCUAGGCCCAGGGAUAAGAGCCCUGGAGAAAACAUGGUGGGUGGUGCCAUCCCCUGUGGGAGGGGAACAGAAAGCUCAGGACCACUGAGAUAAGGCACUGCGGCCCUUACCUGUG